UGAAUUGGGUCCGGUGGUGUUCUAAUCAUCAUUCAGACUCAAGUCUAACCCUCAAGAGCCUCCUCCUAACUUGUUUGACCAAAUAAAUGGUUAGGGUUUGUCAGUAUGCACCAAUGGAUGGGUAUGACCACCAUUUGUUAUGGUUCCCCAAUCAUUUUGCACUUACUCUUAGCUAUUAAAUUCUGCCCCUUGGUUCCCCAAUCAUUUUGCACUUACUCUUAGCUAUUAUGUUCUUCCCCUCUCUUGAAUGCCAUGAUUUGGGAUCCCUGAGCUCCCUCUAAACUUGGAUGCUUGAGGGCUAGCUAUUCAAC
rnacentral:lncRNA from 1 species